AUAGUCAUUUCACAUUAUAUGUAAGUCAAAUAAUUAUGCUGUACACUCUAAACUUAUACAGUGCUGUAUGUCAAGUAUAUCUUAAUAAAACUGGCAAACGUACUUAUACAUCAGGAGACUGCACAUGCCAAAUUAGUGGGAAGGCCUUCUUCUCCUUAAAGAGCUGAUUCUUCCUUGGGAAAACAGAGCAGUCACAGGUAAGGCAAAUGGAUGACAACAGAAGAUGACUCCACACUAUGUGCAAAAUAUUUGAAAAUAGGCAUAUCAAGGAGGGCUAGAAUAGUAAGAUGAUGUUGGUUGGAGAAAGAAGGCUUGAAUGGGGACUUGAACAACUAGCAAACAUCAAAGAGAGAGGAAGAAAAAGAAGAUACAACAGAAUAUAAUAUAUAGAACUCAUGGGGCAUUAAGGAUUUUGGACAAGUAAGAUAGGAGAGAGGAAUGGACAGGCCAAAAUUUUGCCUUCCAAGCCAAGCAGAAAUUUUUAAAUUUAUUGAUGAAGAUACUGUCAGAAUUUGUUCAGGGGAGUAAUGAAAACUAUAUGUGAGGAAGGCUAGAGUGAAAGGGAUAUAAAGGGAGGUCCAAUAAAAUGAAAGAAAGUUUGAAGUAAUGUAACCCAAUCUUUAUAUUUUACAUAUGUAAAAACAGGAGCCCAAGAAUUGAACUUAUUUUUUCAGGUUUUUACGGCCUGUGAGGAUCAAGGAAGGGGAGAGAGAGAGAUGUGAGUAGGUGGCUGAAACCCAAGACAGGACACCCUUAUACAGCUUACUUUGGAGUGAUGGCAGUACAAUCACCAAAAGGUUUUAAUGGAUGUAUAAUAAAAUAUAUAAAGGACAUUUAUAAUUUGCAUAAAGAUAUUUUUACUUUUUAUUGAAAUAUAAUGUGCAUAAAGUAUACACAUUUGAAAUGCAGAGUUUAAUACAUUUUUGCACAGGGAACAUAGUUUUAUGUAACUAAAAAACAGAUGAAAAAAUAGAACAUAUAGAAGAUAUAGAACAUUCAAAAGCCUCUCUACUAACAGUCUACCAGUUAAAAUGCCCUCAGAUAUUAACCAAUAUCCUCUUUUAUCAACUAGAUUCAUUUUGCCAGUUUUAAACUUUAAACAAAUGAAGUUAUAAAAUAUAGGUAUUCUUUUUUUAUUGCUUUUGUUUAUUUAAUUUUAAAUUCCGGUGUGGUUAACAAACAGUGUUAUAUUUGUUUCAGGUGUACAAUAUAGUGAUUCAACACUUCCACACAACAGCCGUUGCUCAUCACAAGUGCACUUCCUCAUCCCCAUCACCAAAUACAGGGAAUCAGCUGGCCCUACUUGAUGAGAAGAAAUGAUAGAGAAAAGCACACAAGUCAGUAAAUGGCUGAGGAAGGAAUGUGAGAGAUUGUGGUUAAAAUUAUGAUGGCACUUGGGAGAGGGUUCCAGAGUGGUUAAGAAGCUGUCUUGUGGCUGAAAGCAGAGCCUCGAGCAGAAGCCCCAACACCAAGAGGAGGUGGUGGCGGUGGGGGGGGGG